rnacentral:lncRNA from 1 species
UCUUGGUGGCAGUAUAUGUUUUUAGAGCAGGCAUGUUUUAAGUUCAUAUUGCAUCUGACUCGAGGAAUGAAAAGUGCGAUGGACGGCGCGGGCAGGAGGGGGGGAGGCGAGAUCCACCUCCGCGGGAAAUAAUGGGGAUGAUAAUAAAACAGGGGGAAAACCCGUCCGAGGGAAGCUGAAUGGAUGGAGCCAGAGAGACGUCACGGCCAUCCGCAGCCAUGAAGACUCAGUGGUCCAGCCUCCGGCAGCUCACUUGGUCUCCAUCUCCCGAGCUGCUCGCUUCUCGCUUUUGGAGAGCGGACGCCGCAGCGACUCGCAGACGAAAGCGUUAGAACUUGGGCCAUGUCACUUCGCCUGCAGCUUGAGAGGAUGGGUAGCCUUAGGGGUUGGCAUCAAGACCCCAAAAGCGCCACCCUCCCAAAAAAGCGCAAACUCGGCCACAAGAACUGCAACACGAGAGAAGAAAAUGGACGACGUUUAA